rnacentral:rRNA from 1 species
CAGAGGGUGCAAGCGUUGCUCGGAAUCAUUGGGCGUAAAGGGCAAGUAGGUGGUCUCAUUUGUCUCGUGUGAAAGCCUUGGGCUUAACCCAAGAAGUGCGCGAGAACGGUGAGACUCGAGUUCUGGAGAGGGUCGUGGAAUUCCCGGUGUAGCGGUGAAAUGCGUAGAGAUCGGGAGGAACACCAGAGGCGAAGGCGGCGACCUGGACAGAUACUGACACUCAACUGCGAAAGCGUGGGGAGCAAACAGGAUUAGAUACCCUGGUAGUCCACGCUGUAAACGAUGGGUACUAGGUUUGGUGGGUCUUGACCCCCGCCGAACCGGAGCUAACGCACUAAGUACCCCGCCUGGGAAGUACGGUCGCAAGACUA